rnacentral:tRNA from 1 species
GCGCCGUUAGCUCAGUCGGUAGAGCACGUGACUUUUAAUCACGGGGCCAAGGGUUCAAAUCCCUUACGGCGUACCA